rnacentral:rRNA from 1 species
AUGGAGUCCCGGGCCAUUAGUCCCGGCGAGACGGCGCUGCCGUACGCGUACGCGCCGCUGGCCCCGUCCGACGUCGCGGAGGAGCGCCGCGGCGGCGGCGGCGGCGGGGUGAGGUGGCGCGCGUGCGUCGCCGUGCUGGCCGCCUCGGCCCUGGUGGUGCUGGUCGUGGCCAGCGCGCUGGCCGGGUCCGGCAGGGUGGACCGGGUCGUGGGCGGCGACGUGGUCGCGGACAUGCCGCCGCUGGCGGAGACGGCCCGGAGCCGCGGCCGGGACGCCGGCGUGUCGGAGAAGACCUCCGGCGCGGCGGACGAGAUGGUGGGGCUCCUCGGCGCCGGCGGCGACGCCGACGGCUUCCCCUGGAGCAACGCCAUGCUGCAGUGGCAGCGCACCGGCUUCCAUUUCCAGCCCGAGAAGAACUGGAUGAACGAUCCCAACGGUCCCGUGUACUACCGCGGAUGGUACCACCUCUUCUACCAGUACAACCCGGAGGGGGCGGUGUGGGGGAACAUCGCGUGGGGCCACGCCGUGUCCCGCGACCUCAUCCACUGGCGCCACCUCCCGCUCGCCAUGGUGCCCGACCAGUGGUACGACAUCAACGGCGUCUGGACCGGCUCCGCCACCGUGCUCCCCGACGGCUCCCUCGUCAUGCUCUACACCGGCUCCACCAACGCCUCCGUGCAAGUCCAGUGCCUCGCCGUCCCCGCCGACCCCAACGACUCCCUCCUCCGCAACUGGACCAAGUACGAGGCCAACCCUAUCCUCGUCCCGCCGCCCGGCAUCGGCGACAAGGACUUCCGUGACCCCACCACCGCCUGGUUCGACGAGUCCGACAAGACCUGGCGCACCGUCAUCGGGUCCAAGGACAACCACGGCCACACCGGCAUCGUCAUGACCUACAAGACCAAGGACUUCAUCAACUACGAGCUCAUCCCCGGCCUCCUCCACAGCGUCCCUGGCACCGGCAUGUGGGAGUGCAUUGACUUCUACCCCGUCGGCGGCGCCGAUGGCUCAGAGGAGCUGUACGUGAUGAAGGAGAGCAGCGACGACGACCGCCACGACUGGUACGCGCUCGGGAGGUACGACGCCGCGGCCAACAAGUACACGCCGAUCGACGCGGAGAUGGAUGUCGGGAUCGGGCUCAGGUAUGACUGGGGCAAGUUCUACGCGUCCAAGACCUUCUACGACCCCUCCAAGAACCGCCGCGUGCUCUGGGGGUGGAUCGGCGAGACCGACUCCGAGCGCGCCGACGUCGCCAAGGGAUGGGCGUCCCUCCAGUCCAUCCCCAGGACGGUGGAACUGGACGAGAAGACCCGGACGAACCUCAUCCAGUGGCCCGUGAUCGAGAUCGAGACGCUCCGCAUCAACUCCACCGACCUCGGCGGCACCACCAUCGACACCGGCAGCGUGCUCCCUCUCCCGCUCCGCCGCGCCACCCAGCUCGACAUCGAGGCCACCUUCCACCUCGACGCCUCCGCCGUCGCCUCCGUCAACGAGGCCGACGUCGGCUACAACUGCAGCACCAGCGGUGGUGCCGCCAACCGUGGCGCGCUCGGCCCCUUCGGACUCCUCGUCCUCGCUGACGGUGCCCUCAAGGAGCAGACGGCGGUGUACUUCUACGUGUCGAGGGGCAUCGAUGGGGGCCUCCAGACCCAUUUCUGCCAGGACGAGUCGCGGUCGUCGCUGGCCCAGGACGUCGUGAAGCGGGUGGUCGGCUUCACCGUGCCUGUGCUCGACGGUGAGGAUCUAUCACUCAGGGUGCUGGUGGACCACUCGAUCGUGGAGACCUUCGCCAUGGGUGGGAGGUCCACCGCGACGUCGAGGGUGUAUCCGACGGAGGCCAUCUACGCCGCCGCUGGCGUGUACCUUUUCAACAACGCCACUGGCGCCGCCGUCACCGUCGAGAAGCUCGUGGUGCACGAGAUGGACGACUCCUACAACCAGAUCUUCACGGCCGACGAUGCCUCGGCCGCCUUGUAG